GCCUGGGUGGCUCAGUCGGUUGAGCGUCUGACUUUGGCUCAGGUCAUGAUCUCACUGUUCAUGAGUUCAAGCCCCACAUCGGGCU
rfam:Felis catus isolate Cinnamon breed Abyssinian chromosome B2, whole genome shotgun sequence.